UUAUUAGUACAUCUUAAGUUACGUAUUUUGUUUAUAACAUUAAGAGUUUAUAUUUCGUAUUUAGCCGACAACUGACCAGCCGUGGUGUAUAUGAGCGACAGAAACUUAAAAAUAUUAAUUAUGUUUCAGCACGAAACAAGGGAUACCUAACAUCUGGAUAUAUAGUACAAAAUUUAAGAAUAUUAUCUAAAAAAAAGAUUAUUAUGUCACGCUAAAAGUGAUUCUCUCAGCAAAUGGUCUAAGGAUUCAAACUAAACAGGAUGGAUAGGUAUCUUAAAUUUUCAAAAUAUUACUAAAGCCAUCAGCGGUAGUUGUCAAGAAUGAGGAA